GAUCCUGGCUCAGAUUGAACGCUGGCGGCAUGCCUUACACAUGCAAGUCGAACGGCAGCGGACCUUCGGGUGCCGGCGAGUGGCGAACGGGUGAGUAAUAUAUCGGAACGUACCUUUCAGUGGGGAUAACGUAGCGAAAGUUACGCUAAUACCGCAUAUUCUGUGAGCAGGAAAGCAGGGGACCGCAAGGCCUUGCGCUCUUUGAGCGGCCGAUGUCAGAUUAGCUAGUUGGUGAGGUAAAGGCUUACCAAGGCGACGAUCUGUAGCGGGUCUGAGAGGAUGAUCCGCCACACUGGAACUGAGACACGGUCCAGACUCCUACGGGAGGCAGCAGUGGGGAAUUUUGGACAAUGGGCGCAAGCCUGAUCCAGCCAUGCCGCGUGAGUGAAGAAGGCCUUCGGGUUGUAAAGCUCUUUCGGCCGGGAAGAAAUCGCAUGGGUUAAUACCCUGUGUGGAUGACGGUACCGGAAUAAGAAGCACCGGCUAACUACGUG
rnacentral:rRNA from 1 species